UACGGAGGAUGCAAGCGUUAUCCGAAAUGAUUGGGCGUAAAGCGUCCGCAGGUGGCAAUGUAAGUCUGCUGUUAAAGAGUCUAGCUCAACUAGAUAAGAGCAGUGGAAACUACAUAGCUAGAGUACGUUCGGGACAGAGGGAAUUCCAGGUGUAGCGGUGAAAUGCGUAGAUAUCUGGAGGAAUACCGGUGGCGAAGGCGGCAUCCUGGACCGGCAUUGACGCUGAGGAGCGAAAGCCAGGGGAGCAAACGGG
rnacentral:rRNA from 1 species